GAUGAAGAACGCAGCGAAAUGCGAUAAGUAAUGUGAAUUGCAGAAUUCAGUGAAUCAUCGAAUCUUUGAACGCACAUUGCGCCCGCCAGUAUUCUGGCGGGCAUGCCUGUCCGAGCGUCAUUUCAACCCUCGAACCCCUCCGGGGGGUUGGCGUUGGGGAUCGGCCCUUUCACCGGGUGCCGGCCCCUAAAUACAGUGGCGGUCUCGCCGCAGCCUCUCAUGCGCAGUAGUUUGCACACUCGCACCGGGAGCGCGGCGCGUCCUCGUCCGUAAAACACCCCAAACUUCUGAAAUGUUGACCUCGGAUCAGGUAGGAAUACCCGCUGAACUUAAGCAUAUCAAUAAGCGGAGGA
rnacentral:misc_RNA from 1 species